rnacentral:rRNA from 1 species
AGACGGAGGGUGCAAGCGUUAAUCGGAAUUACUGGGCGUAAAGCGCUCGUAGGCGGCUUGUUAAGUCGGAUGUGAAAGCCCUGGGCUCAACCUGGGAACUGCAUUCGAUACUGGCAGGCUAGAGUAUAGUAGAGGCAAGUGGAAUUCCGGGUGUAGCGGUGAAAUGCGUAGAUAUCGGGAGGAACACCAGUGGCGAAGGCGGCUUUCUGGACCAAUACUGACGCUGAGGCGCGAAAGCGUGGGGAGCAAACAGGAUUAGAAACCCCAGUAGUCC